GCGGAGGAAAAGAAACCAACAGGGAUUGCCUCAGUAACGGCGAGUGAAGCGGCAACAGCUCAAAUUUGAAAUCUGGGUCUUUCAGGCUCCGAGUUGUAAUUUGUAGAAGAUGCUUUGGGUGUGGCUCCGGUCUAAGUUCCUUGGAACAGGACGUCAUAGAGGGUGAGAAUCCCGUACGUGACUGGUUGCCUUCGCCCGUGUAAAGCUCUUUCGACGAGUCGAGUUGUUUGGGAAUGCAGCUCAAAAUGGGUGGUAAAUUUCAUCUAAAGCUAAAUAUUGGCCAGAGACCGAUAGCGCACAAGUAGAGUGAUCGAAAGAUGAAAAGCACUUUGGAAAGAGAGUUAAACAGUACGUGAAAUUGUUGAAAGGGAAGCGCUUGCAACCAGACUUGCACGCUGCCGAUCAUCCGGGGUUCUCCCCAGUGCACUCGGUUGCGUUCAGGCCAGCAUCGGUUUGGGUGGUUGGAUAAAGGCCUUGGGAAUGUAGCUUCUUUCGGGGAGUGUUAUAGCCCUCGGUGCAAUGCAGCCUACCCGGACCGAGGACCGCGCUUCGGCUAGGAUGCUGGCGUAAUGGUUGUAAGCGACCCGUCUUG
rnacentral:rRNA from 1 species